GACGACGCUGGCGGCGUGCUUAACACAUGCAAGUCGAACGGUGAAGGGGCCUGCUUUUGUGGGUCCUGGAUGAGUGGCGAACGGGUGAGUAACACGUGAGUAACCUGCCCCCUUCUUCUGGAUAACCGCAUGAAAGUGUGGCUAAUACGGGAUAUUCUGUGCCUGCUGCAUGGUGGGUGUGGGAAAGAUUGCGCCCUUUUUGGGUGUUUUUGGUGGGGGAUGGGCUCGCGGCCUAUCAGCUUGUUGGUGGGGUGAUGGCCUACCAAGGCGGUGACGGGUAGCCGGCCUGAGAGGGUGGACGGUCACACUGGGACUGAGACACGGCCCAGACUCCUACGGGAGGCAGCAGUGGGGAAUAUUGCACAAUGGGCGCAAGCCUGAUGCAGCGACGCCGCGUGAGGGAUGGAGGCCUUCGGGUUGUGAACCUCUUUCGCCAGUGAAGCAGGCCUGCUCCUUGGUGGGUGGGUUGACGGUAGCUGGAUAAGAAGCGCCGGCUAACUACGUGCCAGCAGCCGCGGUAAUACGUAGGGCGCGAGCGUUGUCCGGAAUUAUUGGGCGUAAAGAGCUCGUAGGCGGCUGGUCGCGUCUGUCGUGAAAUCCUCUGGCUUAACUGGGGGCUUGCGGUGGGUACGGGCCGGCUUGAGUGCGGUAGGGGAGGCUGGAACUCCUGGUGUAGCGGUGGAAUGCGCAGAUAUCAGGAAGAACACCGGUGGCGAAGGCGGGUCUCUGGGCCGUUACUGACGCUGAGGAGCGAAAGCGUGGGGAGCGAACAGGAUUAGAUACCCUGGUAGUCCACGCCGUAAACGUUGGGCACUAGGUGUGGGGGGCCUUUUCCGGGUUUUCCGCGCCGUAGCUAACGCAUUAAGUGCCCCGCCUGGGGAGUACGGCCGCAAGGCUAAAACUCAAAGGAAUUGACGGGGGCCCGCACAAGCGGCGGAGCAUGCGGAUUAAUUCGAUGCAACGCGAAGAACCUUACCAAGGCUUGACAUGUGCCGGUCGGCUCCGGAGACGGGGUUUCCUCCUUGUGGGGCCGGUUCACAGGUGGUGCAUGGUUGUCGUCAGCUCGUGUCGUGAGAUGUUGGGUUAAGUCCCGCAACGAGCGCAACCCUUGUCUCGUGUUGCCAGCACGUUGUGGUGGGGACUCGCGGGAGACUGCCGGGGUCAACUCGGAGGAAGGUGGGGAUGACGUCAAAUCAUCAUGCCCCUUAUGUCUUGGGCUUCACGCAUGCUACAAUGGCCGGUACAGAGGGCUGCGAUACUGUGAGGUGGAGCGAAUCCCUUAAAGCCGGUCUCAGUUCGGAUCGGUGUCUGCAACUCGACACCGUGAAGUUGGAGUCGCUAGUAAUCGCAGAUCAGCAACGCUGCGGUGAAUACGUUCUCGGGCCUUGUACACACCGCCCGUCACGUCAUGAAAGUCGGCAACACCCGAAGCCCGUGGCCUUAUGGGGAGCGGUCGAAGGUGGGGCUGGUGAUUGGGACGAAGUCGUAACAAGGUAGCCGUACCGGAA
rnacentral:rRNA from 1 species